rnacentral:rRNA from 1 species
UACGUAGGUGGCAAGCGUUGUCCGGAUUUACUGGGCGUAAAGAGCGCGCAGGCGGUCGUUCAAGUCGAGUGUGAAAGCCCCCGGCUUAACUGGGGAGGGUCACGCGAUACUGAUCGACUCGAAGGCAGGAGAGGGUAGUGGAAUUCCCGGUGUAGUGGUGAAAUGCGUAGAUAUCGGGAGGAACACCAGUGGCGAAGGCGACUACCUGGCCUGUUCUUGACGCUGAGGCGCGAAAGCUAGGGGAGCAAACGGG